GGGGAAUAUUGCACAAUGGGCGGAAGCCUGAUGCAGCGACGCCGCGUGGGGGAUGACGGCCUUCGGGUUGUAAACCUCUUUCGCCCACGACGAAGCCGCAAGGUGACGGUAGUGGGAUAAGAAGCACCGGCUAACUACGUGCCAGCAGCCGCGGUAAUACGUAGGGUGCGAGCGUUGUCCGGAAUUACUGGGCGUAAAGAGCUCGUAGGUGGUUUGUCACGUCGUCUGUGAAAUUCCGGGGCUUAACCUCGGGCGUGCAGGCGAUACGGGCAAUACUUGAGUGCUGUAGGGGAGACUGGAAUUCCUGGUGUAGCGGUGAAAUGCGCAGAUAUCAGGAGGAACACCGAUGGCGAAGGCAGGUCUCUGGGCAGUAACUGACGCUGAGGAGCGAAAGCAUGGGUAGCGAAC
rnacentral:rRNA from 1 species